UUGUUGCUAGUUAGAGCUGUCUAGCGAGACUGCCGGCAUAUAACCGGAGGAAGGUGGGAUGACGUCAAGUCAGUAUGGCCUUUAUGUCCAGGGCUACACACACGCUACAAUGGUCGGUACAGAGGGUCGCAAAGCCGCGAGGUGGAGCCAAUCCCACAAAGCCGAUCUCAGUUCAGAUUGCAGGCUGCAACCCGCCUGCAUGAAGUUGGAGUUGCUAGUAACCGCAGGUCAGCAAUACUGCGGUGAAUACGUUCCCGGGUCUU
rnacentral:rRNA from 1 species